rnacentral:lncRNA from 1 species
GGAUCACUCAGCAAGGCUAGUUUACUUCCUGCAGAAAGGAUGCAUCUCGAAGGCAGUCUUGCCACGAGAGCACGCCUGAACAAGGAGACAGGGACAUUUAUAACUUUCAUAACCUGGCGCAAUCACCCUACUGCUGUGUCCAGUUUCCAUUGGCCGGAACAGGACCUCACAUUCUAUGCUUGACCCAAUUGGCUAAAAACUUGGAAAUUUUCUAAAGAAGUAAAGCCAGAGGAGAGCAAAGGAAAAGAGAAAGUAACUUGAGGAAUGCUUAGAGAAGGGAUAACAUUUACAAAUAACGAAGGGGAAUUAGCUGUGACCUAAGGCUUGCCUGGGCUUGUCCAGGAAUGUCAGGGCAAAUAUCUAGGUUAAAGUGUAAGAACUAAGAACGCGGGAUUCACUUAUUUCUUUAUUAAGCCUAACAGCUAGUUUAUUAGCAAAAGCUUUAAAGUAAAUUAAUCUUUGAAUAAACUAUUAUUUAUUCAUAAUGAACUAAGAGGAAAGCUUUGAAGAGAAACCUUUUAUUUAUUCUUAUUUCCUACAGAGCUCAACGGUUAAAAUUCAGCUUAAUUAAAAGCUAACAUUCAAGAUGUAUGUGUGCUUGUGAACAUGUGUGUGUUUGUAUUUAAAAGGCCUUUAUGUUUUUGUUUUUCUCCUAGGACCUUGUUUAUUAUUUUUUGUCUUUGAGCAAAAGUUUUUUUCUUCUCAGUUGACGGAAUACUGUUUUCUUCAUAUGCUUCUGCUGUCUCUCCUUUUCUUCCACCUUCUCCUGCAUGUGGUACGUGAAACAGUUUAUAAUAGCCUGUGGCUCCUUAAAGAAAAUGGAGAAGGCACUAGAUUCCUUUUGGGGAGAAACCUGUUUUUUCUUACGGAACCCCAAGAACGUAAACAGAACUCUACAUCCCUGAAGCAGAAGUGGAGGAAAAAAGUGAAUGUUGCAGAGCUGGAGAUUGGCGGGGCAAGUUCAGCAGAGGAUGAAGACAGCUGGAAGCAAUAG